CAGCUGCGUCGGGUGUGUUGUGUGAAGUCUUCUUCGCGCCAUUGUUACGAAUGAGAAGCUAGUGAACCGCUGCACUCCGUUUGGCGUGACCUAGAGUUCACAGGUCUGCACCACAAGCCACUGAGCAUCUUCCCAUCUCUGAGCAGACAUCAGCCUGGAAAAGAAAACAUCUGCAGAAAUGAACCCGUGCGUCACUGGAAACAACACUACUCCGCCUUCCAUGCAGGAUGUGCUCCAGAAGAAUGGAGAUGGAGUCCCCAGUCCCAUUCCUAUAGGGGCAGAGAAGUGCUUGCGGGACACCCCCGGAACCUCAGGAGCGAAGGGGAAGGAGGACUGUGCAGGAACGUGUGGCACACACCAGAUGAAAUCGACGGUGUUGAUGAAGGAUGGCCUGGCAUCCAGAUUUGAAGAAGGAACUCCGUGUGUCUCAAGCUCUUCUGAGGAUCCACCUCUGACAGGAAGUGAGCCUGAUGGUUCUGACCUGGAGACUUAUGAGGACCCUGAGUUGUACCCAGGGGAGGAAGAUUCAUAUGUCUGGAGCAAGUCGGAACUGACACGUUCUGAAGGCCCCCUUGGAUCACUUGAAUGGUGCCCCGUGCCCCCUGAAGAGUUGACUAAGGCAUUUGAUUUCUGAAGAAACAACUCAGGAAACCAAGAAGCAAAGGAAAUGGCCCAGGCCUGUAAGCCGAGCUUCCAGGACAACUGAGGUGGAAGUGUUGCUUGCCUCCAGUAGUUUGAGUUAAACCUGUCUUGAAGAGCUAACCCUGUUUUAUAAAAGAAAAGACAAUAAAUUCUCAAAUGUAA